AUUCCGUUAACAGAGAGCUUGUGUUAUAAAAUGCAAGCAAGGAGUGUGAAAGACACAGACAGUUCCCAGGCGGGGAGAUUAAAGAAAGAAAGAAAGAAAGUCGAGUAGAGAAAGUGCAUUCAGUGUGUUUAAGAGCUCGACUUAGAUGGGAAUAUAAGUCAGGCAGAGCGCCGAUGCUCAUGCCACAUAGCUGCAGUGUCGAGGUGAUGGCCUGCCUGAGUGCCGGGCCGGGGGCAAACAGAUGGUCGACAACAGCCCAGGAGAGAUGUCUUUGACCGGGCGGCAGCGCCAGGAGCUGCCAACAAAAAGCUCUCCAAUCCAAGGCCCGGGGAGGGAACAAUGGGCCAAAUGCAGGUUCUUCCACCAGGCCGGGACUGUGACAGGAGGCAGAAAACCGUUAUCUGUCUGAUGUGGAAGCCGUGGCAUUCAGGGCACCACAUUAAUCACUGCUGGAGAAAAGGCUCUCUGCUUAACAUAAACACCAUCCUCCAGAAACAGAGAGACUGAAUGAACCAACACUUGCCUUUACUCUGUCACUCAGCCAUCUCGCUCCUUUAAUUCUCAUUUUGACUCAGAGUUUUAGACCAUUAGUUCUAGAUCAAAAAGCAUGUAAAUUGACCACAGUUUCUUUUCCAAGUAUCGUUAGGAUGGGUUUUUACAGACAGAUGGCAUUAUUUUAAGACACGAAUUUGAGCUUUUUCAUUACAAAUGACUAAAGGUAUUUACUGGUAUUCCUCAGAAUUGUAUCAUUGUCAAGGUGGAUUAACAUUUGGACCGUCAUGCAACAUUAAAUCUCUCUACAGACUUAUUAAAUUCGCACCUCUUCAAUGCAAAGUGACCUAUAAUGCCUUUUUUGUGUUUGCAAGAUAUGUACAGUAUAUAUGAUUGUUUUUGACUAUUAUUACAGUUUAAACAAAGGUCACUCAAUUUCUUGCUGCA